rnacentral:rRNA from 1 species
UAGGGAAUCUUCGGCAAUGGACGAAAGUCUGACCGAGCAACGCCGCGUGAGUGAAGAAGGUUUUCGGAUCGUAAAACUCUGUUGUUAGAGAAGAACGUUGCAUAGAGUGGAAAAUUAUGCAAGUGACGGUAUCUAACCAGAAAGGGACGGCUAACUACGUGCCAGCAGCCGCGGUAAUACGUAGGUCCCGAGCGUUGUCCGGAUUUAUUGGGCGUAAAGCGAGCGCAGGUGGUUUAAUAAGUCUGAUGUAAAAGGCAGUGGCUCAACCAUUGUGUGCAUUGGAAACUGUUAGACUUGAGUGCAGUAGAGGAGAGUGGAAUUCCAUGUGUAGCGGUGAAAUGCGUAGAUAUAUGGAGGAACACCGGUGGCGAAAGCGGCUCUCUGGACUGUCACUGACACUGAGGCUCGAAAGCGUGGGUAGCAAACAGGAUUAGAUACCCUGGUAGUCCACGCCGUAAACGAUGAGUGCUAGUUGUUUGGGGCUAUCCAGCCCUAAGUGACGCAGCAAACGCAUUAAGCACUCCGCCUGGGGAGUACGACCGCAAGGUUGAAAC